CCUACGGGAGGCAGCAGUGGGGAAUAUUGUGCAAUGGGGGAAACCCUGACACAGCAACGCCGCGUGAGCGAAGAAGGCCUUCGGGUUGUAAAGCUCAAUAGUAUGGGAAGAAAAUGACGGUACCUUACUGAAAGCCCCGGCUAACUACGUGCCACCAGCCGCGGUAAU
rnacentral:rRNA from 1 species